rnacentral:rRNA from 1 species
CUUCGGGUCGUAAAGCUCUGUCAGAGGGAAAGAAAUGUGGGCAGUUAAUACCUGUUCCGCUUGACGGUACCCUCAGAGGAAGCACCGGCUAACUCCGUGCCAGCAGCCGCGGUAAUACGGAGGGUGCGAGCGUUGUUCGGAAUUAUUGGGCGUAAAGCGCGUGUAGGCGGUUUGCUCAGUCUGAUGUGAAAGCCCUGGGCUCAACCUGGGAAGUGCAUUGGAUACUGGCAGACUUGAGUACGGGAGAGGGUAGUGGAAUUCCCAGUGUAGGAGUGAAAUCCGURGAUAUUGGGAGGAACACCGGUGGCGAAGGCGGCUGCCUGGACCGAUACUGACSCUGAGACGCGAAAGCGUGGGGAGCAAACAGGAUUAGAUACCCUGGUAGUCCACGCCGUAAACGAUGAGUACUAGGUGUUGCGGGUAUUGACCCCUGCAGUGCCGUAGCUAACGCAUUAAGUACUCCGCCUGGGAAGUACGGUCGCAAGACUAAAACUCAAAGGAAUU